GAUAGUAGGAGGAGGACCGGUUCAGUCUGCCAGGAUGCUGGGAACACAGCAAAAAUGGUUGCAUCCUUGAAACAGAGAAAGUCCAGUCUUUUACCAUAAGGGUGAAGUGGGCCAACAGCAGAAUGGGCAGUCAUGGUACAGACCCACCCCGUGGACUGGGUGGACAAAGGUGAGAAUGGCAUUUCUUGACACAACUUGACCCUGCACAGAUAAAAGUCAUGGGUGCAGGUUGA
rnacentral:lncRNA from 1 species